GAACAUCAUCAAGAAGGGCUCA
rnacentral:siRNA from 1 species